rnacentral:rRNA from 1 species
CACCACUAAUUCCAUCUGCCCCUUCUGAACUCUAGACUCCCCAGUUUCAAGCGCAGUUCAAUGGUUAAGCCAUUGGAUUUCACGCCUGACUUAAAAGUCAGCCUACGCACCCUUUACGCCCAGUGAUUCCGAGUAACGCUUGCACCCUCCGUAUUACCGCGGCUGCUGGCACGGAGUUAGCCGGUGCUUAUUCAAGAGGUACCGUCAUAAUCUUCCCUCUUAAAAGGAGUUUACACACCGAAAUGCGUCAUCCUCCACGCGGCGUUGCUGCAUCAGAGUUUCCUCCAUUGUGCAAUAUUCCUCACUGCUGCCUCCCGUAGGAGUCUGGACCGUGUCUCAGUUCCAGUGUGUCUGAUCAUCCUCUCAAACCAGAUACCCGUCAUAGCCUUGGUGAGCCAUUACCUCACCAACUAGCUGAUAGGACAUAGACUGAUCUCUUAGCGAAAAAACUUUCCCGACUCAUCUUAUAAUGAGAAGGAGUAUCUGGUAUUAAUCACCGUUUCCAGUGGCUAUCCCAAACUAAGAGGUACAUUAUCUAUGGUAUACUCACCCGUGCGCC